rnacentral:rRNA from 1 species
AACGAACGCUGGCGGCGUGCUUAACACAUGCAAGUCGAACGUGAAAGGGGGGUUCGCCCCCGAGUAAAGUGGCGCACGGGUGAGUAACGCGUGGGUAACCUACCUCCGGGCGGGGGAUAACCAUCCGAAAGGGUGGCUAAUACCGCAUGAGACCACGCAGCCUCCGGGCUUUGGGGCCAAAGAUGCCGCAAGGUGUCACCUGGAGACGGGCCCGCGUACGAUUAGCUAGUUGGUAGGGUAACGGCCUACCAAGGCUUCGAUCGUUAGCUGGUCUGAGAGGAUGAUCAGCCACACUGGAACUGGAACACGGUCCAGACUCCUACGGGAGGCAGCAGUGAGGAAUAUUGCGCAAUGGGGGAAACCCUGACGCAGCAACGCCGCGUGGGUGAAGAAGGCCUUCGGGUCGUAAAGCCCUUUCAGACGGGACGAACGUCGGCCGGGGAUAACCCGGUCGAUCUGACGGUACCGUAAGAAGAAGCACCGGCUAACUCCGUGCCAGCCGCCGCAGUAAGAC